rnacentral:rRNA from 1 species
UGGGGAAUAUUGGACAAUGGGCGCAAGCCUGAUCCAGCCAUGCCGCGUGAGUGAUGAAGGCCCUAGGGUUGUAAAGCUCUUUCACCGGUGAAGAUAAUGACGGUAACCGGAGAAGAAGCCUCGGCUAACUUCGUGCCAGCAGCCGCGGUAAUACGAAGGGGGCUAGUGUUGUUCGGAUUUACUGGGCGUAAAGCGCACGUAUGCGGCCUUUUAAGUCAGGGGUGAAAUCCCGGGGCUCAACCCCGGAACUGCCUUUGUUUCUGGAAGUGUGGGGUAAGGUAGGGGGGAGUGGAAUUCCGAGUGUAGAGGUGAAAUUCGUAGAUAUUCGGAGGAACACCAGUGGCGAAGGCGGCUCACUGGACCAUUAAUGACGCAGAGGUGCGAAAGCGUGGGGAGCAAACAGG